GCAGCAGCUGCUAUUAGAAUGAAACAAAAAGAAAGAAAGGAUUAGGAGGAAAACGGGGAAGAAGGAGAGGGAAGAGAGGAGGAACGGCGCCAAUGAGGAGCCCACUAUCACCGCUGCCGCGUCAUCGUUGGGUCUUGGAGGGAGGCCAUGCCUUUGAGCUGUCACCGUCGAUCCACCACAAGCCGCCAUCGCAAGUCAGAUUCAAGGUGAGAGAGAGAAAGCCGCGAGGAAGAAGGGAAGGAGAGAGAAAGGACCGUGCCGGCAUCGUGCCUCACCGCCGCACCGCGUCCCACUAUCGCCGCCAUCACGUCUGGUCACUGUCGAGCUCGCCAUUGAAGACGCCGCCUGUGCUGCCAACUCCACCGCGUUCUACACCGUCGAGGGUCCCAGUCCUGUUAGAUCUAUCAUCGUCAUGCCUUUGUGCCGUUGAAAGAGCCUCCGUUUGCUCCGCCAAUCUGUCACCAUGCUGCUGGGCUAUCGCCGCUACCACCAAAAGCCUGCAUCAUUGUUGUCCUCAUUGUGGAGUCAGUUGUCGUCACCUAUGGUGGAGCCAGAGAGAGAGAGAGAUCUCGAGGGCAGAAGAGAGAGAGGGGAGACCCGAACCCAGCCAUCGCCAGGGAGCUCCACACCGCCUCUGCUGCCCGAAACCCCGCCGCUGUCGCCGAUCUGUAGGCGCUGUCGCCGUUGAGCUCUUCCACCAUCCUUUGGGUCACUGGGAAUGUGACUGUGAUCAUCGGAACCACCAUCAGAGUUAUAGCUAUUUCAGUUCAGCCGUUCUUCCCUGUUUGGAUAAGCGUUUCAUUCCGGAACCUUAGAAUCGGUAUUUUUGUUUUAAGUUGUUUAAGGAUUGAGGUCUUGGUGUCAUAGGAUCGAGUUACGGGUCUUGAUUGUUGAGUUCUAUGAAUGUUGCACGCGACAUUAAGCUGCUGCGUCGUCACCGGAGCUGCCACUGCUCUGUUCUCGGGCUUAUUCGAUUAUGUUUUGGUUCUUGCGUGCCGUUGCUGAGGUUGCAGCUGCCGCCGUUGCUGGCCAAGAAGAAAAGGAAUUCUCUGACGCUUCUGGUUAGUGGUUUCGCUUCAUGAGGGACUUUUCAUAUUUUUCUAAUUAGAGGACUUGCAAGAGAUAGUAAAAUCCAAAAAGAUAGUGUUCUGGAGGCUGAAGUUGAGAUCUUCAAGAAGAUUUAAGAUCCAAAUGAGUGAUUUGUAUAUUUAUCCAAAAGUUUUAUACAUUUUGGACUUUAAUUUUAUGUGUUAUUUUGAACUUUGCACGAAGCCUUUAUGUUAAAAGCUUUUUAUUUUGAUCCUUGGUUAGGGAAUCAAUUUUGCUUUUUUAUUGGUGCCUAUUAUAUCAAGCGGGUGUACCUUUCACGGGUUUCCUAUUAUAUUUUAUUUAAUUUUCAAUAUUUUUAUGUGUAUAUUUUCUUUGUUACAAUUUUGGAUUUCUAUGUUUUUCAU